UGAGGUAAUAAAACAAUGAUUCUAGAACUUCCCUGGUGACUCAGUGGUAAAGGACCUACUUGCCAAAAGGAGACAUGGAUCCAUCUACGCAAAGCAAAAAUAAACAGACUUGUUAGAAAAGAUCAUAGCAAUAGAAGGAACAGAGCACAAUCAUGUCUGCCCAGCAUUGCAGGAUUGUAUGAUGGAGGGUCUGAUAUUUUUAAGGAAGAAUCAGUGCCACGUGGUGGCCAGCCAAAUGGACUGGGAAGAGAAGGCAGCAAAAAGCUGAGCUGAAGUGACUCAGAUACUUCCUUGAAAAACACCUACUUCUUGCUUCCAUUAAUUAAGAUGGAGGAAAUAAAAGCAUCCUUGAACUGACUUAUAAGGAGCAGGGAGAACUGAUGCUUUUAGUUUUAAACAUAUUGUUCUCAUAUGCUAUGGGUCAGCUAAAUCGAGCAGCAGUCCUGUAGAGCAAAACUAUACCGUGUGUUUCAUAAUUUUUAUAUUAAACAUAACAUUAAAACAUUAA